rnacentral:rRNA from 1 species
GGAUGCGAUCAUACCAGCACUAAAGCACCGGAUCCAUCAGAACUCCGAAGUUAAGCGUGCUUGGGCGAGAGUAGUACUAGGAUGGGUUGAACCUCCUGGGAAGUCCUCGUGUUGCAUCCC